UUCCACCAAAUUGCUCUGGACGAUCAAUGACAAAUUCAGUUUCGCCACGAAGUUCCAUUGCAGGGAAACUGACGUAUUUCAAGAAAGCCAAACAACCAUUUUCCUCCACAACACCAGGCUCGCAAAAAGCUGAACGGAUUUUCUUGUUUACAGUUUUGGGAUCAUCUAAGAUAUCAAUUUUGGCGUUGGCAGCGGCAGAGGAAGACAUUUUACCACCAGCAAGACUGGGCACCAUAGGGUUCAUUAAAUGGCCACGCUUCUUGUAUCCCAAAACUGGUAACACCUCUUCAGCCAUAACGAAAAUUUUACGUUGGUCAACACCACCGAAUUGAACAUCAACACCAAGGUAUUGUUCAUCAAGAGCUUGCAUACCUGGAUAGAUCAAGCUUGACAAUAGAGGACUAGCGACCUGCUUGACAACUUCUGCACCGGCACGACGAGCAGUGUGCUCUGUCGUAGAUGCAGCAAGUCGAAAGUUAUCAAGGGUAUAAUCCUCCUUCAGCUGAUAGCUGGAGCCAAUGACAAAACGAAGCUUCUCAAUGGGAAUAUUCAACGAUUUUAGAAUAGAUUUGACAAUAAUUUCAUAAUAACGAACACGGUGUUGAACGAGUUCCAUCGGCGCCUUCAUGUUAUCCAAAAAAGCAUGGACAUCGGCUAAAAGAACAGUAACAUGUACACCGGCCUUUAAAAAAUCAGCCAACUUCAUCAUUGGCACAAAAUAACCACAAUGAGGACGGCCAGUAGGUGCACUGCCCCAGUACAAGCUGAUAUCGCGUUCAUUCAAAAUUUCGCGAAUCAUUUUGGCGCCAAGCACCUCUUGAAGAUUACGAGUAAUCAACUCAUAUUUUUCAUCCGGAGUAAGCGACAUCUUGCUUGAUAUCCAACGUUAAAUGGAACUCACAAAAAUUGGUGAUGUUGGUUAACGAUGUUUUCGAUUGCAAUCAUGGACUGCGAUCAACGUUCGGAAUUGCCGCGGCACCGUGACUGCAACCCGAACAACAAAUUAUUCAGACAAAAUUAUUAACCAAGGUUUAAUAAAUAAUUUGGUUUAAUUAUGUGCAAUUACUAAUAAAAUAUCGUUUAAAAAAUGUUUAUGUUAUCAAAACAUUCGUAAAAAGGGUAAAAGCGGUUAAUUAAUGUUAACAGGAAUAAACCUUUUGGGAAGAUGAACUGAGUUGCAGAGGUCCUCGGUUUUCGUUAUAAACUGCUGAAGGUCUAAAUGUCUUGUAAGCGACCUGCGAGGUGAAACGCUAAUACAGUGUUUAGCAUCAAGAUUCAUAUCCAAUGGACAUUGGGCAUAACAACCUGGUGAGAGUGUGAUACGAACAGAAAAUUCCUUAUUUCCUGAAGGAUUAGUCCUCU